UAGGGAAUCUUCGGCAAUGGACGAAAGUCUGACCGAGCAACGCCGCGUGAGUGAAGAAGGUUUUCGGAUCGUAAAACUCUGUUGUUAGAGAAGAACAAGGACGUUAGUAACUGAACGUCCCCUGACGGUAUCUAACCAGAAAGCCACGGCUAACUACGUGCCAGCAGCCGCGGUAAUACGUAGGUGGCAAGCGUUGUCCGGAUUUAUUGGGCGUAAAGCGAGCGCAGGCGGUUUCUUAAGUCUGAUGUGAAAGCCCCCGGCUCAACCGGGGAGGGUCAUUUGAAACUGGGAGACUUGAGUACAGAAGAGGAGAGUGGAAUUCCAUGUGUAGCGGUGAAAUGCGUAGAGAUAUGGAGGAACACCAGUGGCGAAGGCGGCUCUCUGGUCUGUAACUGACGCUGAGGCUCGAAAGCGUGGGGAGCAAACAGG
rnacentral:rRNA from 1 species